UACGAAGGGGGCUAGCGUUGCUCGGAAUCACUGGGCGUAAAGGGUGCGUAGGCGGGUUUUUAAGUCAGGGGUGAAAUCCUGGAGCUCAACUCCAGAACUGCCUUUGAUACUGAGGAUCUUGAGUUCGGGAGAGGUGAGUGGAAUUCCCAGUGUAGAGGUGAAAUUCGUAGAUAUUGGGAAGAACACCGGUGGCGAAGGCGGCUCACUGGCCCGUAACUGACGCUCAUGCACGACAGCGUGGGGAUCAAACAGG
rnacentral:rRNA from 1 species